CUGAGGCACGAUCUUCGCCACGCAGCGAGGCAGGGGCGCGGGUCAAGAGCCGGUUGGGCCUCGCUGGGACCCAGGCGUCCAACCAGCUCUGCCUCCUCUGGUAGCUACCCAGCCUCCCGCUGGGCACCCUAGCUGCGAGAUGGCGUCUUACUGUCCAUCAUUGCCUAGGGUGGUCUCCAAUUCCUGUGUUCAAGUCAUCCUCCUGCCUCGGCCUCCCAGAGUGCUGGGAUCACAGGUAUGAGCCACAGUGCCCAGCCAGUGUGAUGUUUUGUCUUAAAAUUAUUCAUGGGAAGGGGGGAAAAAAAACUCUUCAUGGUUUCCCUAUUACCCUAGGGAUAAUGUCCAACCCCUUCACAAGAAUCUCGCUCCCUGUGACUUGACCCUUGCCAUGUAGUCACAUCCCCCUUAACACUAUACCCUUCAGCCAACUUCUUUUUUUUUUUUUUUUGGAUGAAGUUUCACUCGUUACCCAGGCUGGAGUGCAAUGGCACUACCUUGGCUCACCAUAACCUCCGCCUCCUGGGUUCAGGCAAUUCUCCUGCCUCAGCCUCCUGAGUAGCUGGGAUUACAGGCAUGCACCACCAUGCCCAGCUAAUUUUUUGUAUUUUUAAUAGAGACGGGGUUUCACCAUGUUGACCAGGAUGGUCUCGAUCUCUUGACCUUGUGAUCCACACGCCUUGGCCUCCCAAAGUGUUGGGAUUACAGGCGUGAGCCACUGCCCGGCCCAGCCAACUUCUUUCAAGCAGUGAGGCUUUGUAUAUUCUGGUCCAGGACCUGAUGAAAACGUGCUAAUUUUUCCAGCCUGAGCACAAUGGCAGUCAGCAACCCUGCUACUCACAAGCUGAUAUGCUCCUCCCACCAGGAUCCCAAAGCCAGAACUUUCCUCUAUCACAGCAUUUAUCAUUUUCUUUUCUUUUUUUUUUUUGAGACAGUCUUGCUCUGUCCUAGGCUGGAAUGCAGUGGCAUGAUCUCAGCUCACUACAAGCUCCGCUUCCCAGGUUCAAUCAAUUCUGCUGCCUCAACUUCCAGAGUAGCUGGGACUACAGGCACGCACUACCACGCCUAGCUAAUUUUUGUAUUUUUAAUAGACAUGGGGUUUCACGGCUGGGUGCGGUGGCUCAUGCCUAUAAUCCCAGCACUUCGGGAGGCCGAAGUGGGUGGAUCACAGGGUCAACAGAUUGAGACCAUCCUGGUCAACAAGGUAAAACCCCGUCUCUACUAAAAAUACAAAAAUUAGCUGGGCAUGGUGAUGCGCGCCUGUAGUCCCAACUACUCGGGAGGCUGAGGCAGGAGAAUUGCUUGAACCCAGGAGGAGGCAGAGGUUGCGGUGAGCCGAGAUCAUGCCAUUGCACUCUAGUCUGGGUAACAACAGCAAAAUCCGUCUCAAAAAAAAAAAAAGGAGAUAAGAGUUUCACCGUGUUGGCCAGGAUGGUCUGACAACAGCAAAACUCUGUCUCAAAAAAAAAAAAAAAAAAGAGAUAGGGUUUCACCGUGUUGGCCAGGAUGGUCUGGAUCUCUUGACCUCGUCAUCUGCCCACCUCGGCCUCCCAAAGUGCUGGGAUUAUAGGCGUGAGCCACCAUGCCUGGCCACAUUUAUCACUUUCUAUCACUGUCUGCUUCCUUGUCUUGUCUUCCUUACCUGAUCUUGUAUUCUGUGAAAGCAGGGGCCACUGGAUUUCAGUUGUUUUUGUAAUCUAUUGUCUAGCAAUGAGCUUGGCACUCAUCAGACAUUCAAUGUUUUUGAAUAAAUGAAUGAGUACCCUCAGUCCCUGAAGACUCUUUAAGCAUGCAACAGUACUACUCUGCCGGUGCAGAAAAGACCCCCCCAAACACCUGCCUUGAAUGCACAGCCCCACACUUAGCAGGAAGGGGACUUCGCUUCCCAGUGAGCAGUUCAGUGGACAUGUGGUUUAAUUCUUCCACCCUAUCCCACAGUUUCUCUUGAAGAAAAAAGAUAGUUUCACUUUACACGAAAUUCACUCUUGUUCAGAGGCAUCAUGCUGACAGGACUGGAUCCAAGGAAAACACUAGUGACUUUCCCAACUUCAUUCCACAAUCAAAGAGGACAGUUUCUGGUUUGCCAUGGUGAGUUUAUUACAUGACUAAAGUUCAAAUAAAAAAAUAAAAACCAAAAUCUUGGCAGGCAAGCUAGAGCAAGAAUCAGGAAAUGUUGCUUCCUUGUCCCCAGACUCCCUGACCAAGCCCAGAUCCACUAACUCAAUUUGACUCGAUCAAGUUCCUCAUCAAGACUUGCAUCUGUACUCUGGACAUCUCUGCUACUCCCACUGGAGACCGAGUGUGGAUCCCCUGGUGCUGGGGCUUUGGUGAGGGCUCCAUAUACACCCAUGGCCUGAGGAGAGGGACAGAGAGUACCAUGAGGACAUUUGACAGAGGUGCAGCCCAGCCUAUUGAUGGCUAAAAGGGAAAAGAUGGCAUGGGGGCCAGUGAGUUGGUUUUCCUUCCUCCCUCUCUCAAUCCUGUCUUGUAAGCUCUGGAGUUGAUUUUAGGAAUCUUUUUUUUUUUUUGAGACGGAGUUUCACUCUUGUUACCCAGGCUGGAGUGCAAUGGCGCGAUCUCGGCUCACCGCAACCUCCACCUCCUGGGUUCAGGCAAUUCUCCUGCCUCAGCCUCCUGAGUAGCUGGGAUUACAGGCACAUGCCACCAUGCCCAGCUAAUUUUUUGUAUUUUUAGUAGAGAUGGGGUUUCACCAUGUUCACCAGGAUGGUCUCAAUCUUUUGACCUCGUGAUCCACCUGCCUCAGCCUCCCAAAGUGCUAGGAUUACAGGCUUGAGCCACCACGCCCGGCUGAUUUUAGGAAUCUUACAAACCAUCGGAGUAAGGUAACUCUCAGAAUACCAACACAGGUAUCUGCCAAAAAAAGAAAUCUCAAGAAUUUCUAUAUUUGCAGGACUGAGUAGAGAUGUUUCAUUCUUAGAUUCCAUCUCUACAAAGAAUGAAGGGAGGUGUAGGGCCAAAGGCACUCUGAAGACCUUUAUGGUAUGUAAGUGUUUUUUUUUGAGACAGAGUUUCGCUCAUGUUACCCAGACUGGAGUGCGAUGGCACAAUCUUGGUUCACCGCAACCUCCGCCUCCUGGGUUCAAGCAAUUCCCCUGCCUCAGCCUCCUGAGUAGCUAGAACUACAGGCAUGUGCCACCAUACCCAGCUAAUUUUUGUAUUUUUAGUAGAGAUGGGGUUUCACCAUGUUGACCAGGAUGGUCUCAAUCUCUUGACCUCGUGAUCCACCUGCCUCGGCCUCCCAAAGUGCUGGAAUUAUAGGCGUGAGCCACCACGCCCUGCCUGGUAUGUAAGUGUUGAUGACGGUGGUGGGGUCUCAGUUUAGGCCCUGGCACUGGUACUCUGUGCUGGGUCCUCAGAGAGGUCUAACCUGAGCCACCAUGCUUGUGACAUCGCCAGGGUUGGAGGGCAGUAGGAUAGUGUUGGAGUCCUUGGCCAGUUUGGAGAAUGCGCUGACAUACUGCUCCGCCACAGUCAGUGAAGCUGCUGCAUCUCCAUUCUGUGACCACAGGGGUUUAAAAUCAGACAUGGAGAAGGGGUGGACGGGGAAUGAAGAAAGCAGUUCACAAUAAAAAGGACCAUGUAAUCUGGCUCAACAGAGCUCACAGAGGCAGGAACUCUCAUCAGGGGUAGAUAAGAGAACCCCUUCCACUGUGAAUGCCUGUCCCCCAUUCCCACCCAGGGGCCUCUCACAUGUUGUGUCAGAGCUGCAGCCAAGAUUCGAAUAGCUUCAGCUUUAGCCUUCGCCUUGGCCAGAACUGCACUGGCUUCUCCUGCAAGAAAAGGGACAGAGCUUGCUUGACCCAUCAAGUCAAGAGUACCCCAAAGCUCCUGCCCCAGAACCAAUCUUCAAAGGACCAUACCUUGCUCCUCCCUGAGCCUCUACCCUCUCCUGACCUGCUGCUUGAUUUAUCUGUUCAGCCUUUUCUGCUUCAGAGGCCAGGAUCUGGGCCUGUUUCUUCCCCUCUGCCACGUUGAUGGCCGACUCUCGGGUCCCCUCAGACUCUAGAACUGUGGCCCGUUUCCGCCGUUCUGCCUCCACCUGGAAGCCAACCACAACCCCAAUCAACAAGCCAAGGGAAACCCACACAGACCUGCAACUCUACCCAUCACGACAGGAGGGGAGUCUGGAUCCUCCUGGGACUGGAGCACCCUGAGGUCCUUUUCUCACCCCCGCUUGGCCCCUACCUGCAUCUGCAUAGACUCUUUCACCCGGGGUGGCACAUGGAUAUCCUUGAUCUCAUAACGAAGGCAGCGGAUACCCCAGCAGUCAGCAGCCUGGUUGAUGGCAUCCACAAUGCUCGCAUUCAGGGACUCCCGUUCCUGGAGAAAGAAAAGAAUAAGCCCCACAGCCUCAACCUACCUAUCAAGGGCCUAAACUGAGACGGGCCUGGGACUGAUCUUGACCUUUAGAAAGGAUUGGGAGUGUCAGGUUUGUGCCUUCAAACCCUAACUCUGGCUGAGAUCUGCUUACCCGGAAGACUUUGUCCAGAGAGAGUUUGCCGAGCUCUGAUCUCAUGGUUGUCUGAGCUAGCUGGGUGACAGCAUACUCGGGGUCCUCCACACCAUAGCUUGCCUGAAACGGGCAUGGACAGUGUAAGAAGCUUGGGCGCAAGAUUUCAGUGAAGAGGGCAACCGAAAAGGCUGGAUAAAGUAGGGGGCAGAUACCUUGUAAGGGUCCAUGAUGCGCAGGUAAAGGACUCCAUCGAUUUGCAGAGUUACAUUGUCUGUAGAACCAGGAGAGAAAUGGAGGAAAGUCAGGCCUCUAAGUCCCAACCAGUUCUUUCUCCUACACUCUGGAUCUACAGCAACCACAUCCUAACAGUCUCAGAGCACCCAUGUCACCCUGAACCCCUCACCGAGAGUCACAGCCGACUGCUCAGGCACGUUGAUGACAAUUUCCUUGAGACUCUGCACAUAUCGGAUCCGGUCUAACACAGGGAUGAGGAUGUUCAAACCCUGGGAAGAGGAGUCAUGGGUCCUCAGAAGGAUGGGAACUAUGGGAUUGGGACCUAAGCGAGUCCUGAAGUAUGUAGGGAGUCAACACGUGGAACAUGCCCAGAAAAGCAGCAGCCCCCACCAAGAAAUAAGUCCUCAGAAGACUGAGGUGUUACUGGUAAGAAAACCCAAGAGAAGAGGAAUGCAAGACUAGGCCCCUGAAUGGAGGGGAGAGUUAUGAGAAUUGGAGCCAGUAGAAUAGCCAUCUCUAUGGAUACUAAGUGGUAGGGCAGGGGAGAUUCCCAAGAAUGGGACCUGUGAGAUGCAUAGGAAAAGGUGAUAACAUGGGGCUGAUGGUCAGUAGCCUGGGCCUUUCAAGUCUGGCCUGCAGAGUUGGGAGCUAACAAUGCGGGCAGGCCCAAAGGAGGUCCUCCCAACACUCCAUGUCGUGAGGUAUUGGUCAUCUGGUUGGCCCAGGGUGGGCAGAAGAGGUUCUCACAGGCUCCAGGAUCCGAUGGAAUCGGCCCAUUCGCUCCACCACCCAGGCCUCCUGCUGUGGCACAAACAGUACCACGGUGUUUCGGGGCAAUCCAGAGGAGGCGCGGCGCGGAGCGCGGCCGGAAGCCUGUAGAGAGCCCUGCAGGAAAGAAGUCGGUGAGCAGGGAUCCCGUCUGGCCAGACACCCCGCCCCUUGGUCCUGAAGGCACAUCCAUAAACCACGACCCUCAGGAUCCUCGGAGAGAGAAUCACAUGGGGACCAUGACCUCUGACCCCAGUCCUCUCUCAACGUUGUAAUUUCGCUCUUUCCCAGCGGAAGACCCAAGUGUUCUCUGUCCCGACCCUCUGGAAAGGUUGCCUUGCUCUCACCCUCAGCAAAAGGGCCCCAGUGCCCCGCGCCGCGCGCGCCAGCAUUUCCCACCGCCUCAGUGACCUCCGGAACCAACGAGACGUGGAGCAGAGCGGUCGCUCCCAGAAGCCAACCCGAGCAGUUUCGCUCCCCGGAUGUACCUCCGGCCGUUCCCUCCCUCUUUCGACACUCACCCAAUCAGGGUUACUUGGUCUAACGCGCCUCAAGUUGUUCCCUGGGAAACGCAAAGCUUCCAGAGAAGGCCGAGGGCUGCGGUUGUUUUGGGUUUAGCUAUUCGCGGCCAAGAUCCACGGCCUGGUGGCCAAAAUGGAGGCUAUUUUCCGCGUGCAUAUCACUCACAGACACCACGCGCUGAAUUCUUCACCCUCACCUGAGACUCAGUUUGCCCUCCAGAACAUAGAAUCGCCCCGUCUGUCACUAUAGCGACCAGUGGAUUGGAGCUGACUCGUUGCCAUGGUUGCCAUAGUGACAUUUUCUGGUAGUCCCGCUGUGCUGUGCCUUAGCCCUCCUACUGGGGACUGACCCCAAUCUUGCUGCCAUGGAAACUGGGCCUAACAUUGCCUGGCGAUUGGGUCGAGAUUUUCCCCUCCCAACUUUUUUCAAGACACUCCGUCUUCCCAAGCAAGGUCCAUCAUGCCUAGUCUUACACAGAGUCCAGCAAACAGCCUGAGCGUUCAACCUUGUCUGGAGCAUGUCACCGUGCACACAUCCCUAAUGCUCUGGUAGUCAAGAGACCUCCGUAGUCACCUCCAUUUUACAUAUAAGGGCACUGACGCUCUGAGGGGCUACAGUCAUGAACAGAACCAGUAUUAGAAUCCUGAUCUUCAAUUCAGAGUUUGGUGUCUACGGCUGAACUUCACCCACCAACCCCUCCGAAAAGAGCCAGACCAGGCCCCAAGAAUCAGCAGGGACUAGCCUAAGACCUUAUGGGCCCAGGCCUGUUGCCUCCUCUCUGGUAGGAAAGUCAGAGUCCCAACUCCAAGCAGGCUUCCAUCACCCUUAACACCCUCUCCCCAACAACAACAACAAAAGUAGAGCUUAGUUCAAGUUUCCAAACAAGAAUUUAUUCUUUCUUUUUUAAUCUUUUUUUUUUUUUUUUCCUAAAAAAAAGUACCAGGUACAAUGUUUUCCUGUUUUUGUUGUUUUUUCAAGUUUCAGCAAAUGCUUGUUCCCCUCAGCCCGGCCCCAGGAGUCAGGACUGAGGCUGGGUCAGAGUCUGGAGUGGGGAAUGGGGUAGUUGGGAACCACAUGACUGAGUUUGAGGAGUGCCCCUCACCCCAGCUGAGGUAGGUGGGUCAGAGUCUGGCCAGGUGAGAGGAGGCACCCCAGUCCUUGGCCCUGACUCUGCCCCCUGGACACCUUCUUCAGUCAGGACCCCAAAGCAAGGAGACACAGGAAGGGAGGGACAACUGGAGUCUGGAGCCCUAGGUGAGGGGUGGUUAACCCCUGUGUGUGUGUGCAUACAUGCACACUCCCUCUCACACACACAUACCACACAAAGACAAGCUUGUGCGCACACACACAUACGCAUAACUUGG